rnacentral:lncRNA from 1 species
GUGUUCUAUCUGGAGGAAUAUGCGAUGGACAAGAUCUUUGGCCAAACCAUAAUUCCAGAAAUGGAGUGGAUGAGCCAGGCCCUGCUGAUGGUGGACCCAGUGGACUCCAGGAACCUAGUCGAAAUCACUGUUUUUGGAUGACCCUGUGUACAGAAUUGGGUAAAGAGCUUGCUCCCAUGCCUGGCAUGGUUUCACCAAAAACAUCAUGCCUGAACUGUGAAGAAAAAACACCUUGAGAAGAAUGUGAAGGCCUGUGCUUCAGGCCCCCAUGCUCCCCAG